rnacentral:lncRNA from 1 species
AAAGGAAACUUGCUCCCUUUCCCACCACACCUGAGACCUCCUGCUCACCAGCCUGCAGACAGCUUGGGGUGGAAAUCUCCAUGGGUAGGGACGGGCCGGUCCUUCUUGAUCCUUCUGUAUCAGGGGUGUUCAAGUGUGCCCAACGUUGUUGGGAGGUUCUUGCCCUAUCCUGUGAAAUAGAUUCUGCUGUUUCAUAUCCUACAUAAGAAGACUUCGAGGCUUCAGAGAGGUUAAGGGGCGUGGUCAGGAUCACGCAGCCAGUCAUUAGCAGAGGCAAGAUUUAUAGUCCAGCUUGCUAGGACCCAAAGCCUGAGAGUGUUGGAUUCCACCCUCCCGGACCUGUGGGGCUGGGAUAGGAGCAGCAUUUUGGGACUUUGCUCCUCCCCCUUGGCCCUCGGCCCGCCCUCCUGGGAAGGGGGCGGUGAAGUAGGAUCCAAGCUUCACUCGGGGGUUAGGCGCGCCUCCUAACCAGGCACCCCUAAUCCUAAGGCCCCUUGCUAGCUACGUCUGGAGGGCUGGGCGGGUUUGGGGCCGGUGGGGCGCGGGAUCCACCCGGUCUUCUCGACUAUUUGCAUAGCUGAGACCGCUCGUUUCCCCCGCCCCUUCGCCUCCACUCCUCUUCCCUCCUUCCCGCAUCCCCUCCACGCCUCAUCCCCUGUUCCCCGCUCCUCCCCAGCAGACCCUUCUUCUGGGACUCCCCCGGGGGGGCUCCCAGCUCCCCGGCUCUCCCGCCGCCGCUGAGCGCGGAGUCCGGAGACAUCCGGGGGAGGGGAGUCCUGGGCUGGGCCGGGCUGGGGAAGACGCUGGGGCACAGCCCAGCUCUAACAAAGGGAACUGGCUGCCUGCUGGCUGGGGCGCGGAGCGGGCGGAGCAGCCGCAGCUUCGGCAGCCGAGAACGCAGCGAGUUUUUCCACCGCUAAUCAUUCCCAGUCCUUUGGGGCUGCAAAGUGCUUCCUCCUUGUAUUUCAUUGGGAUCCUGGCUGAAUUUCUCCUGCUGGGGCUGAUGAAAGCUUUCCACCAUUCCCCUAAGAACAGAUGAAUGAAGCAACUCAUGGGACAGCCAUGUGUGAAUAGCUUGAUGUUUGGAUCCAGCAUACAUUUGCUUCUUCCCAUCUUUGGUAAGAGAUGUUUUCAUCAAGCCUUGUUUGCCUUUUUUUUUUUUUUCUUCUUUCUUUCCCAUCUGCCUUUUAAAGCUAUGAUGUCUCAUUAUCUGGUUACAACUGGAAUAAAGGCACUGUUAGUGAGCA